rnacentral:rRNA from 1 species
UGGGGAAUAUUGCACAAUCGGCGCAAGCCUGAUGCAGCCAUGCCGCGUGUGUGAAGAAGGCCUUCGGGUUGUAAAGCACUUUCAGCGAGGAGGAAGGCAGUCGUGUUAAUAGCACGAUUGAUUGACGUUACUCGCAGAAGAAGCACCGGCUAACUCCGUGCCAGCAGCCGCGGUAAUACGGAGGGUGCAAGCGUUAAUCGGAAUUACUGGGCGUAAAGCGCACGCAGGCGGUUUGUUAAGUCAGAUGUGAAAUCCCCGCGCUUAACGUGGGAACUGCAUUUGAAACUGGCAAGCUAGAGUCUUGUAGAGGGGGGUAGAAUUCCAGGUGUAGCGGUGAAAUGCGUAGAGAUCUGGAGGAAUACCGGUGGCGAAGGCGGCCCCCUGGACAAAGACUGACGCUCAGGUGCGAAAGCGUGGGGAGCAAACA